rnacentral:rRNA from 1 species
CUACGGGGGGCUCCAGUGGGGAAUAUUGCACAAUGGGCGCAAGCCUGAUGCAGCCAUGCCGCGUGUAUGAAGAAGGCCUUCGGGUUGUAAAGUACUUUCAGCGGGGAGGAAGGGAGUAAAGUUAAUACCUUUGCUCACUGACGUUACCCGCAGAAGAAGCACCGGCUAACUCCGUGCCAGCAGCCGCGGUAAUACGGAGGGUGCAAGCGUUAAUCGGAAUUACUGGGCGUAAAGCGCACGCAGGCGGUUUGUUAAGUCAGAUGUGAAAUCCCCGGGCUCAACCUGGGAACUGCAUCUGAUACUGGCAAGCUUGAGUCUCGUAGAGGGGGGUAGAAUUCCAGGUGUAGCGGUGAAAUGCGUAGAGAUCUGGAGGAAUACCGGUGGCGAGGGCGGCCCCCUGGACGAAGACUGACGCUCAGGUGCGAAAGCGUGGGGAGCAAACAGGAUUAGAUACCCCUGUAGUC